rnacentral:rRNA from 1 species
UACGUAGGGGGCAAGCGUUGUCCGGAAUUAUUGGGCGUAAAGCGCGCGCAGGCGGUCAUUUAAGUCUUAUGUUUAAACCCAAGGCUCAACCUUGGGACGCAUGGGAAACUGGGUGGCUUGAGUGUAGGAGAGGAAAGUGGAAUUCCACGUGUAGCGGUGAAAUGCGUAGAUAUCGAGAGGAACACCUGCGGCGAAGGCGGGUUGCUGGGCUGACACUGACGCUGAGGCGCGAAAGCGUGGGGAGCGAACAGG